UUUGAACAGCUGUCACGGCGGCCCCUCACACUACUUACGGGACUUUUCACUCAGCUAGGAACCUUCCUCAGCAAAUUUGACAAUUGGAAUCCAGCCUUGUGUUGUGCUGUGAUGUCAACUGGCUUAUCACUUACAAAUUCCCUUACAGGUGUAUGAUUUAAGAGGGAACCAGCAACCAUUACGUAUCUCGUCAGAAACUAUUUUGGAUUUGUUUUUUAUGCUUUCAGAGCCGUGGUAUGUGAAACACCCGCAGCUAAAGUGUGUCAUUUUCGUGAGGGUCCCUCAAAGUAACAGAUGAGCAUGUUGGGAAAUGCACUUUCUUGCCAAAAGUAAUAUUAGAAGAUUGCUGCUUGGCCACUCAGAACCACUGGUUGAGCAUCAUCCGCUGCCAGCAAGUGACAGACUGCGGCUGGUCUGCUCGGCGGGAGGAGGAGCAGAGAUGGACAUUCAUAACUCACGGCCUGCCAGCCGCUCCGUGGGAGUCGUCUGCUGUAAUGAGCCACACACACACACACACGUUGGAGAGGAGCAGGUCCACGUGCACUCACGGACGGCCACUUGCAUGUGCGUGGUGUCAUGCAAUAUUAAUGUGCAAACGACACAUGCGAGGAUGUCGUUUGAUACACGUAAUUACACAUAGAGGCCGAACGCUUCACUGGCACGUUUAACAGCCUGUGUGAAAAAUACACACACAAACAAACACACAUGUAAAUAUACUAACUCCACAGGGGCUCCUUGGUGUAAAACGACUUUGUACACUUAUUUGUAUCGCUAUUCUGUGGCUAAAGCAGUGUUCGGAUUACCGAUGGAGUCACGUGGAUGGAUCGUAGCCGUGACUAAAAUGACUGAGAUUUUAGACGUGGAAUAAUAAAAUGGCCUCAUAUGGCGGCAAUGGACCCAAACACGUCAAGAAGCAGUACCAGAGUCAGCCGAGCUGCAGUCUGCUGCUGUUCGAUCUCUGGUCUUGUCACGGUGUGGUUUCACUUCCUGUUGUAUUUUGUAGUUUUCUGCCACUCGUGUCCCCGGGUAACUUCACUUCCUGCCUUGUCCCGUCAUCCCCUGUGAUCGUCUAAUAGUUUCCACCUGUGUCCAAUCACCUGCACCUCCCUUGUGUAUUUAAGCCAUGUGUCUCCUGUGUCACUUGUCGCGUCAUUGUCUUUUGCCACGCAUGUCCUGUUCUUGUCAUUUGCCACGCAUGUCCUUGUCUUUUGUCUUGGAUGUCCAUAGUUCAUACCUGUGUGUUUUUGCCCCUUGGCCUUUUUUGAUUUUCGACCUUUGACUAUUAAAGUCCCUUUUCUUUUUGAA
ensembl:lncRNA